GAAUCGAUUCGAUCAUAACUUGCCAACUACACAUGGGAAUUGAGAGUUCUAGGACUUUUUGGAAAUGGGAGAACAAGAUCUUCAACUUUCAUGUUGGGCAAAAAUUCAUUUGAGGCUUGUAUCAAAAGGAUUAAAACUUUCCAUUUAUGGCAAGUUUCAGUUACAGGCCCAGUUUCCAUUUUGGGAAAUUCAUGAUCUGGCUCCAAAUUCUUCCAUGAUGGUGUUUGGCAUGAUAUAUGGUGACUAUUUG
rnacentral:lncRNA from 1 species